UGGGGUGUCGCCAAGUUGGUAAGGCAUCAGAUUUUGAUUCUGACAUUCGCAGGUUCGAGUCCUGCCUCCCCAUCCA
rnacentral:tRNA from 1 species